GGCGCUGUAGCUCAGUAGUAGAGUGCUCGCCUGGCAUGUGUGAGGCACUGGGUUUGAUCCUCAGCACCA
rnacentral:tRNA from 1 species